rnacentral:lncRNA from 1 species
UCCCCAGGCAUCAGCAUCUCAGGGGGCAUCGAGUCCAAGGUGCAGCCCAUGGUGAAGAUAGAGAAGAUCUUUCCUGGAGGUGCUGCUUUCCUCUGCAGGGCUCUGCAGGCUGGCUUUGAGCUGGUGGCAGUGGAUGGAGAAAGCCUGGAGCAGGUAACCCACCAGAGAGCCGUGGACACCAUCCGCAGGGCCUACCGAAACAAGGCUCGGGAACCUAUGGAACUUGUUGUCAGGGUCCCUGGGCCUGGCCUCCUGCCCCUAUCCUCUAACCUACGAGCCAUUAAGGGCCAGGGCCUUGCUGCCGACAGUUCUUCCGCCCAUGGACCCAUUGAAGAUACUCCGAUUCUCACACAACUACCUCCCACGGAGGCUAGGCAACUACGGCAUGCUCUCAGCUCUGUCCAAAAGGUCCCUCAAAGUACCCCUAAACUCUUCCCUAUCCAUAAGGAUCCCCACAACCCUUCCUAGGGACCUCAAGUCCAACUACUGCCUCCAGGUUCCAUAUACCUGUCCUAUCCAUUUGACCACCGAGAGCACUGCCAUACUUGGGUGGCUCUGAUCCACUGGGCUGUCAAAAGGGCUCUGGCCUUUCAAGAUAAGCUGGAUAUCCAAUUACAAGGUGUACUAGUGGGCAACCUAAGCCAGUUGCAUUCCCUAAUCCUGGAACUGCCUCCCAGUGAGGAGACAGACACUCAAGUCUGAAGCCUGUAACUGGUGUGAGGUUUUUCACGAUGGACCUGGCUCACCAUAAUCUGAGGGGCUUAAACUGAGUCGUCAAGGUCACUGCAUUCAUCCCCCAGCCUCAAGCAGUGUUCAGUGCAAAGGACAGAAGGAAAGGCUUUUCUAGUUCCUCACGACUCAUGGUGUCGUCCACCAGGGCCCGGGAUUCCUACUGGAUUAGUCCUAAGAACUCCAUCACAGGUAGGUGGGUAGCCAGCAAGCAGAGGAGACAGGAUGUCAAACAAAUUCCCCUAGAGUUUAUCCAUCAAGCCUUUUUUUUUAACAAAACUUUUUUUUUUUAAUUUUUUUCCCCUUUGGGUUUGUACAAGAAAUUUACAGUGUGAAAAAUAUACAAGUGGGAACGAGGCCAUAACCCUGGAACUAGGGAGGGCGGCUUGGUCACGAACACAAAUAAACAAGACAUUGCUGAGUUCUUCCUUUGGUCUGACUUCAGCCCCCUCAGCCCACAAGAGGCUUGCGGAGCUGGGACAUGGGGAUCAGCCCCAUUCCUAGUCCCGCCCCUCCACGUGGGCAUAUUGAGGGCAGGCACAUCUGGGGCAGCUGGUGCCAUCUGGUUCUCUCUGGCUUCAGGCAGGUAGAAUGUGGGGACAGGUUAGCCCCCUUUCCUUUCCCAGCUGGAGUGGACUGGCAGUGGCGGCGGUGGGGAGUGAAAUGGCAGCGUAGGCAGGAGCCUCUGGGUGACAGUGACACUGAACUGCAGGGGGGUUGAUUCUGCUUCUCCAAGUUAUGGGGCCACCCGAAUGCUCGGCAGAGGCCUUUUGGCUCUGAGACCUGGAGCGCUUGCUCGAUGGAUCCCGGUGCAGGUGGUGCGGUGGCUCGCACCCCUUGCAAAGUCCUAGAUUUCAGUGGCAGUGAUCUCCUCCAGACAGAUGCAAGGGGCCGGCUCCGACAAGCCCAAAUCAGCAAGCUCCC